AAUUCUCAAUCUCUUCAACUUUGUGUUGACUAGGUUGGAAGUGGGGGCCAUUUGUGUGGAAUCUAAUUCCUCACUCCCCUUAAAUGUAUUAGCUGGAAUGCCUCUGCAUAUCUGACUAUCAGUGUGAUAAUUAUCUAUGCUGUAGUUGUUGCAUGAGGGUAUCUGCUUUAUCAAUCGUCGAAAGACAAUUCUAUAUGACCA
rnacentral:misc_RNA from 1 species